rnacentral:lncRNA from 1 species
UCCUGACCUCGUGAUCCACCCUCCUCGGCCUCCCAAAGUGCUGGGAUUACAGGCGUGACCCACUGUGCCCGGUUGAGAUUUCUAUGCCUCUUUACCCUCUCUGCCCUGAAACUUUUUGUAGUACAAAUCAUACAAAGUCAUAAGUGGGGAUGUCACAAUUUACCCCGUCAGGGAAAGCAGACAUUUACAAGUACUUAAAAUAAAAUGAGAAUGUUAUAAGGGAAGAAACUCAUGUGAGGGGACUUGGUUGCUUAAAGAUCAGGAAUGUCUCUGAAGUAAUGACAUCUAAGCUGGGAACUGAAGGAUCACCAGGAAUUAGACCAAUGGGAAUGUGGGUGGGUAUUCCAGGCAGAAAGUAGGAUACAUUUGAAAGUACAGAGGUGAGGCCCUCAGGGAAAGUCGUGGAGCUAAGAGAGAUUUGGACCAUAUGUGGAGAGGAAGAGAGGAAGGACAUGAAGUUAGAGGGUCUAGGGACUUCUCUGCAGGGUGGAUUAAGGGAUCAAGGGACACACAGAGCCAGGGAUACUAAUGAUGUUAGUAGACAGCAAGAGAUCUUGGAAGGAACCUGGGAAGGGGCAGUCAGAAAUGCAGAAUAAAAACCAGAAAUGAGUAAUGACAUACAAGACAACUAGUGAGGGAAAAUUCACUUUGUGAAAAGGGCCAACAAUGUGUCAACUACAGCAAGGAAGUCAAGGCUGAAAAGGCUAAAAAGUGGCUGUGGGAUCAAUUAAUGAAGGCAGCGUUGAGGCCUUGGUGAGCACAGUUGUGAGAGAAGAGGUAGAAACCAAAUCGUAGCAGUGGAAAAACAAAUGAAGCUUGAAGAACAGAAGGUGUUUUAAAGAAAGCUGUCUGUUGGGAAGUGAAGGAAGGUGACGUUCCUACAAAAAGAGAAGUACACCAUAACGUUGGUAUGAGUGAAAUCAUUCAUUUUUCACUGAACGCUUACUUCAUGCUGGGACCUAAGCAACAACUGUGGCGACAAUGGACUUAUUGGUAAUUUACUAUGUGCAGACACUCUCCUCACUUUUUGACAGAGAACGUUGAUUAGAUGACCAAAAGUGCCCGGCCCUUUGCCAAGUGUGAUAGAAAACAGGGAGAAGGUAUCAUCAUCGUUUCACAGAUGCCUACAUUCCAAAGGAUCUCAUCAGAGCAUAAGAGCUCUUCCAGCACUUCUUCUUUAUUCAACUCUUCAUUUCAUGCAACAGCUGUUAUUGGACGUGUUCACACACAGACUAGGAAAUUGUUUGCCACAGAGACAGUUGCAGGAGUAGCCUCAAUAAAAUAAAUGGAAAUAGCAUUUCUGGAUAAAAGAACU